GGUUUGAUUCUGGCUCAGAUUGAACGCUGGCGGUCGCUACACAUCACCAGUCGAACGGCAGCACGGACUUCGGUCUGGUGGCGAGUGGCGAACGGGUGAGUAAUGUAUCGGAACGUGCCUAGUAGCGGGGAUAACUACGCGAAAGCGUAGCUAAUACCGCAUGCGCCCUUCAGGGAAAGCGGGGACCUUCGGGCCUCGCUAUGAAGCGGCCGAUAUCGGAUUAGCUAGUUGGUGGGGUAACGGCUCACCAGGCGACGAUCCGUAGCUGUGGUUUGAGAGGACGACCAGCCACACUGGGACUGAGACACGUGAACUCCUACAGGAGGCAGCAGUGGGGGUACGAGGACAAUGGGGGAAGCCUGAUCCAGCCAUCCCGCGUGUGCGAUGAAGGCCUUCGGGUUAUACUUUCACUGGCAGAAGAAACGGCACGGAUAGCCCAUUGCAGCGCUGGCGAAACACCUGCAGAAUAGCCGCCGGCUAACUACGUGCCAGCAGCCGCGGUAAUACGUGGGGGUGCAAGCGUUAAUCGGAAUUACUGGGCGUAAAGCGUGCGCAGGCGGUUCGGAAAGAAGAUCUUAAUCCAGAGCUUAACUUUGGAACUUCAUUUUUAACUACCGAGCUAGAGUGUGUCAGGGGUGGAAUUCCGCGUGUAGCAGUGAAAUGCGUAGAUAUGCGGAGGAACACCGAUGGCGAAGGCAGCCUCCUGGGAUAACACGAGCGCUCAUGCACGAAAGCGUGGGGAGCAAACGGGAUUAGAUACCCUGGUAGUCCACGCCCUAAACGAUGUCAACUCGCUGUUGGAGGCCUUCGAGGCACCGAAGUGUGCAGCUAACGCGUGAAAGUUGACCGCCUGGGGGCCCGGUCGCAAGAUUAAAACUCAAGGAAUUGACGGGGACCCGCACAAGCGGUGGAUGAUGUGGAUUAAUUCGAUGCAACGCGAAAAACCUUACCUACCCUUGACAUGUCUGGAAUCCCGAAGAGAUUUGGGUGCUCACCCGAAGGGCGGAGACACAGGUGCUGCAUGGCUGUCGUCAGCUCGUGUCGUGAGAUGUUGGGUUAAGUCCGCAACAGAGCGCAACCCUUGUCAUUAGUUGCUACGAAAGGGCACUCUAAUGAGACUGCCGGUGACAAACCGGAGGAAGGUGGGGAUGACGUCAAGUCCUCGGCCCUUAUGGGUAGGGCUUCACACAUCGCACAAUGGUCGGGACAGAGGGUCGCCAACCCGCGAGAGGCCAACCGAAACCCGAUCGUAGUCCGGAUGUGAUCUGCAACUCGACUGCGUGAAGUGGAAUCGCUAGUAAUCGCGGAUCAGCAUGUCGCGGUGAAUACAUUCGGGUCUUGUACACACCGCCCGUCACACCAUGGGGGAGUUUUUACCAGAAGUAGUUAGCCUAACCGCUAUUAAGGAGGCGGUCCCCAGUAAGUUCCAUGAGCUACAGGGUGAAGUCGUAACAAGGUAG
rnacentral:rRNA from 1 species